AACUGACUCUAGUGCCUUCACUCUCUGUUGCCUGCAUCUGGAUUUAUGCCUGUUUCUUUGUCUGAAGGCUCCAUCAUAAAGGAGAAGACGAACUGGUGCAUGCCACCACAGCAGCAACACAUUUUGCCUUGGAUCAACGGGGAAAGCUGGGCAAUGGAUGCUUCUGUGGGAUGCGGACUCGGAUCGGUUCUUUUGAAAAUGUGGCCUUGGAUUUUGUCAACAGCAGUAGAGCUGCUCCUAGAAUGGUCUGCGGUUCCAUAUAGUGCACACCGAG
rnacentral:lncRNA from 11 species